GAUGAAGAACGCAGCGAAAUGCGAUAAGUAAUGUGAAUUGCAGAAUUCAGUGAAUCAUCGAAUCUUUGAACGCACAUUGCGCCCCCUGGUAUUCCGGGGGGCAUGCCUGUUCGAGCGUCAUUUCACCACUCUAGCCUCGCUUGGUAUUGGGCAACGCGGUCCGCCGCGUGCCUCAAAUCGACCGGCUGGGUCUUCUGUCCCCUAAGCGUUGUGGAAACUAUUCGCUAAAGGGUGUUCGGGAGGCUACGCCGUAAAACAACCCCAUUUCUAAGGUUGACCUCGGAUCAGGUAGGGAUACCCGCUGAACUUAAGCAUAUCAAUAAGCGGAGGA
rnacentral:misc_RNA from 1 species